AUACAGCUGACGAGUCUCAAACAGGACGAAACUCACGUCAAACUGGAU
rfam:Schistosoma mansoni strain Puerto Rico chromosome 1, complete genome